UACGUAGGGUGCGAGCGUUAAUCGGAAUUACUGGGCGUAAAGCGUGCGUAGGCGGUUCGUUAAGUUCGAUGUGAAAGCCCCGGGCUCAACCUGGGAAUUGCAUUGGAAACUGGCGGGCUUGAGUGUGGCAGAGGGGGGUGGAAUUCCACGUGUAGCAGUGAAAUGCGUAGAGAUGUGGAGGAACACCGAUGGCGAAGGCAGCCCCCUGGGCUAACACUGACGCUCAGGCACGAAAGCGUGGGGAGCAAACAGG
rnacentral:rRNA from 1 species